rnacentral:rRNA from 1 species
ACAGAGACUCUGCCCUUUGGGUAGACCUCCCACCCUGUGUCGUUAUACCUCUGUUGCUUUGGCGGGCCGCGGGGCCCCGGCCCUGCCCCUGGCUCCGGCUAGGGCGCGCCCGCCAGAGGACCUCAAAACCUGAAUGUUAGUGUCGUCUGAGUACUAUAUAAUAGUUAAAACUUUCAACAACGGAUCUCUUGGUUCUGGCAUCGAUGAAGAACGCAGCGAAAUGCGAUAAGUAAUGUGAAUUGCAGAAUUCAGUGAAUCAUCGAAUCUUUGAACGCACAUUGCGCCCCUUGGUAUUCCGGGGGGCAUGCCUGUUCGAGCGUCAUUACAACCCUCAAGCUCUGCUUGGUCUUGGGCGUCACCGGUCCCGGUGUGCCUUAAAAUCAGUGGCGGCGCCAUCUGGCUCUAAGCGUAGUACAUACUCUCGCUACAGACGUCUGGUGGAUGCUGGCCAGCAACCCCCAACUUAUCAAGGUUGACCUCGGAUCAGGUAGGGAUACCCGCUGAACUUAAGCAUAUCAAAA